UCAAAAUAAAUAAGAAAAUAAGUAAACAAAAACAAAAAACAAAACUUAAACUGCUAAACCUCCAAACAAUUAGAGAAGAAAGGAAGACAGGAUGCAAUUAAGUGUGAAAAUGUGUGAUACAGCAUGAAACUGCUAGAGGAAUGCAAGCAAGGAAGAGAUACUCUGGGCCUCCAACCACCACGUGACUCUUCUUUGGACUGGUCCUUUCAGGUAUAGAGAGCUAAGACUCAGGUGGGGAAUUUUGAUCAAAUGCCUCAAAUGCAAAGCCAGGCAGGUAAGUAUGUGAACGAAGCCGAUCUGGCAUAAGAGCCACAACAAUGAGCAGCAGAGGCUGGAAGUUUUGUUUCAUGGGCAGAACAACCAAGCUGCAGCUCUGGAAAAAUGGUCACAGAUGUGUGGAAGUAAUUCCAUAUUUUCAAGACUGCAAGGAGGGCCGAAGCACAUAUGAGCCUGUUCCAGCUAAUGGCCCCCGAUUUGUUUUGAAUUUCCAAGGGUCAAAGCAUGGAUAACUGAAGAUUGAUUGACUUCAGCACAAAUGAGUUUCUAAAAAAAAG